AUGGAUUCUCCUGCCUUGGUGCCA
rnacentral:piRNA from 1 species